GGGGAAUGGGUGGAUUACCUGGAUGAAAUCAAGGGCAGGAAGUGCCCAGAUUGAGCUCCGUUUGUCUUGUGAAGCCAGCCCUCCCCACAUUGUCACCUGAUUGCCAGACCAGAGCGACUGACAGCCAGCUACCUAAUCAUACUCCUUAGGAAGUGGGAAUCACAGACAUAAGGAUGGCCCCGAAGCUGGACAGACUGUGAAG